rnacentral:rRNA from 1 species
UACGAAGGGUGCAAACGUUGCUCGGAAUUAUUGGGCGUAAAGCGCACGUAGGCGGCUUGGCAAGUCGGAUGUGAAAUCCCUCGGCUCAACCAAGGAAGUGCAUCCGAAACUGCCGAGCUUGAGUACUUAAGAGGAUCGCGGAAUUCCCGGUGUAGAGGUGAAAUUCGUAGAUAUCGAGAGGAACACCUGCGGCGAAGGCGGGUUGCUGGGCUGACACUGACGCUGAAGUGCGAAAGCUAGGGGAGCGAACGGG